AAGUACUAGAACAUCAAGUAGUAAAACGAAAUAUAUUACGUUACCUGCAUAAAAUCUCUUUCAUGAUAAUAAAAAAUAUAAUAACACAUAUAAUAAAUUUUACAACGGGGAAUAUAAAUUUUACGUCUUUCAGUAUGUCAGAUAUCGUAAAUAUUCGGACAGUUACAGAUAUUGACGGAAAGUAGGAAAGGAAAGACAGUGUAACCGAUUAUGUGAGUGUUCCAAUUUCUGUUAUCGCUAUUAACUAUGUAGGUUGAAAUUUCGGUAAGAUAAUGUACGUUUGUAUUGGAUUCUAAUCGACAUGUGUACACGAAAGAUUUGAUUUCUCUGCUCACUGAAACGUUUAAUUUAGGUUACUGAAUUGCAUCCUCUUCGAUAAACUAGUCGAAUGGUUGUUCGAAUUCGUAGUUUUAUUCGAUAUUGAAGGAAUUCCAUAUAUUUAGUUACACUUUUUUCUUUAUCCGAGUUCUGGUUUAUUUAGGACAUUUCUUUUUAUACCUCUGUAGCUUGCGUGGCCUCGUGCUGUAGAAUAUUUAUCAAGAGAGUAAGUUUUCCAAUUUAAGCUUUAUCAUUAGGUAUUUUAAAAAUACAAACAUCCGUAACUUUCCAAGCAAGGCGGUUGAUGAAGUCCACUGCACCCACAGGAGGAUCGAUGGUAACCAAUAAAUAAUGCAUGAGAUGCAUCUGCACGCCCUCGUAAGGUUGUAUAGUUAGGAGAGACUCGUUUAAGGUGAACAUUACGGUUAUACACCGGCGAAAAUUCGUCGAAAUCAAGGACUUUGAUUAAUUACAACUACAACGUAUUGAUUAUUUACGCGGAGUGUUUAUCACGUGAAAAAUAAAUUUCAGAACAGAUAAAACAGAUUUUUCCCAUUUAUAUAUAUAAUAUAUACGGUGUAUAACCGUAAUGUCUAUCAUCAUUUAUGUUUAGCAAUUAUGUUUAGAUAAACUAGUCCACGUAAAUCGAAUUAAUCGCACUUUUGAAAUUAAAGUGCGCAUGCUACACGUCAGGUUGCCAUGGGAAAACAGAAUUUAAGAUAACAUUAUAAUUCGAUAGAGUUAACGUCGCGUAUCUGGCCUUGUCUGCCUACACUUUGAAAUAAUUCAAUACAUCCAUUCUUCGAACGUAUCGAGUACAUGGAAAAAAAUUAAAUGUUACUCGAAUGACUAAUAAUGGGAAAAAGGCAAAAGUCGUGUGUGUAUGUGUGUGUUGGAGUACGAUAUAAUUGUGAGAGAGUUGUUGGAAAGGAAAAAAUGGCAUACACCUGGUAUGAACCUAUGUACGUACACGAUCGUAAAGAAAUCAUAAACGAUUUAUAGAGAACACGAUGGUAAUAGUUCUUACUUCUUACAUUGUCAAUAAUUAGGGAGAUUCCGAAGUAUUUUCUCUUAUAUUGAACGGAACAACUAAAAAGUUAUUUUACGUGUAUACAACGAAAUUGAUCAAUCGUAAGUUUUAUGACAACCGAUAAUAAUAUGGAAAUUGUACGAAGUGAGAUCGGUUCCAAUACAUACAUAUAUACAUAUAUGUUUACUGAUAAAAGUACUUCGCUGUAUAUGCUGUCUCCUCUGUAUUUUCAUAAGGCCUUGAAUAACACGUCUCUGAUGAACUAUUCUUUUCUUACCAUCGUUCCCUAAUUUACAUAUUCUGAUGUUGACAUAAUAAACAGAAGCGUUAUAUCUCGCACGGAAUUGUCGCGUUAUCAUGAUAUUUCAGUGAACGUCGUUAAUGAAUUGCAGAACAGGUUAAUCAAAAUAUCUAUGUCUAUAUAUAGCGUCGUUACGAAGAUAACUUUAGGAUAAAAAACGAAAAUUUACGUAAGCAUAGACAAAAAAAAAAAAAAAAAGAAAUAUCAAAGUGGCGGUUAAAUCAUCGUAAUCGUAACAAAAUUAUUCAUGCUUGAAUCUAAGGAAGCAGCAGUAAGGUAUCUUUAAUUAAGAUUCAUAUCGUGCUGGCUCCUAGAGUUUUUCCACGAUUCCUCUCGCAUGAGCGCACGCGACGCGUUCGAGAAUGAAUACAUGGCAGGAACUCACGAGUUUGCGUGAUUGGCAUAUAAAAUACGCACAGAAAAGACAGUUGUACUUUACGUAUGUUGUCUUAGACACAAUGGGGAACACACCGUGAUGUGAACAACUGCAACGAUGUAGACUUGAGAACAUUGAGAAAAAUCAUGGAAAGUAUAAUUAAUUCUAUAAUAUGUUCGAACGCUACUGUAUUAUAGGAAUAUUCCCAAUUUCUUAUAUACCUUAGUUGCAAUUGACGAUUAUUGUUAGAGAUAAUUAGCAAUUAUAUUAAUCGGUACUUUUGUCCGAUAAAAAUGAAUUCGAUAAAAGUUGCCUACGAUUAUGGCAUUAGAAAUGCUACUUUAAUCAAUUUCUAAAAAACCAAAAAAAGAAAAAAAAAUGAAAAGAAAAGAAAAGGAAGAAAAAGUUGCAAAACGAGAUCUAAUUACUUGAUAUCUUGAAGUGGAUGUUACUCCGAUUAUACCGUAUAAGUAGAAACGGUUUAUGGAAACUACUGAUCGUGAGACAACGCAGAAAACAACCGGAAGUCUCAGCUCAACGAUGAAUCGAUAGAAAGACGUUCUGUUUCGUGACUAUGCAGGCGUUGAAGUCUCUUCUCCGCGCAGAUCAACGGAGGAAGAUUUCUCAGAAAUUCGUCGGGUAUUUGUCACACUUCUGAAGUUGAAUGAUUCAGAAUAGAAUAUCGCUAGAGAGUAGCGAUUGAAAUAAGAAGAAGGUACUAUAAUACAAGCAAAAAUGUAACCAAGAUGUUUAUCAAGAUUAUUAUUAUCAAACCUUUUCCUAUAAUCUCAAAAUAUCGAAUCGACUAAUUUUUGAUACAAAUAGGAUUAGAAAUUAAAUGUAUCUAACUAUUCGAACACUAUAUAUAAAAAUGACGCGCUAUCGUUAAUUUUACAUUAUAAAUCCGAUAACUUUUUUAUUACUUCAGUUGAAUAAUAUUUGGAUCAACCGUAAUUGACUAACUAUAUCUAUCGUUUCAAAACACCUAUUAGUUGUUCAAGCAACAACAAAUCAUUAAGAUUACGAAGAAAAUGAUUUAUCUACUUUAUAUAUUAGAAAGGAGUUUACUGUUAGAAAGCAUAACGGAUCAGACAGGCUACGUAAAAUUUCACGAUUCGUUUGGCAUCUCGAUGAUUGGAAGAAUUCCUUUUUAUUAACAGCAAGCAUGUUUUGUUACAACGAGUUGCAACAAUUUGUGAAUUACAUUCUGUGCGUCAUAAAAUGUUUUAUUUCUUUUGUCAAAGCAAUGAUCGACAAACGUGAAAAUCCAUUAAGGAUUAUACAAUGUCCAACUAAUUAAACCGACUAAUGGAUUCCUAUUAUACGAGCAUACCAAUAGAAUUUCUUAACACGGUGAAUAUCUUUGUUGGUAUGUAUUCACAUAUGAGUACAAUAUUAUGUGACUCAACGGUUUAGCGAGUCUUGCCACGCCUUCGUUGGUCACGAGUAACUUUCUUUGUUGCUUUGUAGGAAGCUACUUAUUCGAGAUACUGUGUACUAAUACUCGUAAAGUAAUAGAUGCAACGAUAGUAAAUAUGUAGUACAAGAAGAGUGGGUUAAGCAACAGACAAGUGCAAAAUAAAAUAUACACGAUGUAACGCGUAUCUCUUUUUAUUACAGUAAAUACGUCGAACACGAGUUUAAUUAUUUAAAAUAAAUAUUUAUGACGAAAGGCUUAAAUUCAGUGACGCAGAGAGACGCAAUUAUUCGAAGCAAUAAUAUUUUAGAAGCUACGACUACUCUCGUACAAUUCUAAAUACUUUUUUUCGACUAAUUUUAAAAUAAGUACCACUUAAUAACGCAGAAGUUACUUUAGUAUGUCAUUAAUGUAUUUACGCUUUAAUCACGAAUUGUUUCAUAACGUGAUAUUAUGGUUGAAUAAUGCGAUUGAUAAUUUUAUUAAGAAGCAGGUACGAGCUGUGAUGAAUUUCAACAAACAGAAUUUAUCACGGCGUGCACUCGAUACGUAUAGUGGUCGCGUGAGUUGUUUUACUAACAAACCCGUAUCUUAGCCUCUCUUUUUGUUCGACGAUCUUCUUGUACUUCGUAAUUUGCCAAUCAUGCAUGAACAGCGUAAUAUUUAAUAUUAGUUUAAUCCCUGUAAAAUCACGCACGAUACGAUUAAUAGCAAUUUGUUGUUGUAGAAAAUAGUGAAUAUUUGUUUGAAUCGUUGAAUCGUAAUUGAAAUAUCAAUAAUUUCUAUACGUAAGUAACGAAUAGUAGAAAAAAUGUACGUACGAUUCGUACUCAUCUAUCGUAAAACGAAUGCUGAUAGAGGAGAACAUUAUGUGUCGUUAACGUCAAAAAACAGGUUAUGGUUUCGAUGACUCACUGUCUCGGCUUUGUAAUAUGUAGAUGCAAAGAACUCUUCGACCCGAUCUCCACCGGUUAUACUUUCAACGUAAUCGUUGAAUUCCUAUACGUCGUUGGGUCGAAAGACAUCAUUUGCGGUUUAUUUUUACCUUUCGACAAGACGAGAAUCAACCGCUUUCCUUUAAGAAUAGAGGUGUAGCCGAAUGAGGAUUUAUUCGAAACUGUUUAACCUCGUGGCUCACUUACGACUUGUAGAGCACAGAAAUCCAAUUAGGGAAGAAAGAGUCUUUUAUUUCAAGGAUGAGAUGCAAACGUAUGUAGAACGGACUAUUCGCCUAAUAAGAAAUUCAUAGACAAACGUAAUUAACAUCUAAAUAGCCCGUUUUUAUGUUUACAACCUGUAGCAUUUUCGUAUUAAAUCGCUACGUGAAUUUUUAUUAUCGAUAUUUUAACGUAAAAAAGUCAACGUGAGUGGAAAAAAAGUUAAAGAUGUACGAAGGAUUAUUUUCUGAUUCAAAAUCCGUUGAUUUAAAUUGAUGGUGUAACGGUAUAUUAUCGAAAUAAUUUAGCGAUAAAUCGUCGAUUGUAACGAUAAUAGGUAUUUUCGUUUUAAUUGAAUUGAUUUGAGUUCGCUUUGAAACGAUCUUCGUUUUUGAACGCACACACAUUUUAACGUAAACGGAUGUCAUAUGCACGUAACACUCCAUCAUGUUCGUAACAAAACAAAAAUCUAUUUCUUAACAAUCCGAGUUGAUGAAAACCAAUUUUUCCUGACACAAAAAUGUUGAACGACAAACAUCGAAGGGAUUAUAAUCGAGUGCAACCGUGGCUUAAAUAUCGUGUCAAGUAUUUCACGUAGCUAUAAAAUUUAUAUCUUCUUUAUUUUUUAUUUACAGUUUUCAUUAUAAUACAUCAGUUUUUUAUAUUUUCUGUUAGACAGAAAUUGUAUACGGAAAUUGUAUUUUCUAAGAAGAUGAUAAGCGUUUCCAUUCAUUUUCGUUCCCCCGUAUUCGCUCUGUACAGAUAUCUCGACAUAAUAUAGCCGUGUACACUUACGCCCACCGUCCGAUAUAUGCAAUUUCAGUUCGCUACAAUCUACAAUCGUAGUCUCGUAUUUGAUCGGCUGAACCAUAGAGUUUAAGUUCACCAGAUUCUGAAAAUUACCAUUGCUCUUACUUAAUGGGAUGCUCCGGUAUUCGCAGAGUACUCAUUUUCUACAAAAUCCAAUCCUAAAUGUCGAAGUUCAAGUUUUACAUAGCGGUACGGUUAUCUCGUUGUUUGUACAGACUGGUUAAAAAAUUUCCACGGAAACACGGAAAGCGAAAAAUAGAGGAUGGAAUUCUUUUCUGGAAAAUUUCAUUUCUGUUCUUUGGCUCUAUUGAGAAACGGACCUUGCGAGUUUCUCUGCUUUGUGAUCGUGCGACGAUUUCGAAAACACCCUGUAUAAACGUUGAAAAGUAUAGGACAGGUUGUAGGACAGGUAGUAGGACAGGUAGCUACAGUGAAAAUCAGUGUACGUUUUGUUAACUGAACGUAGACGGUUCUCACGGACCGUAGAUCCUCGCCUUCGGGCUCUUUCAUAGGAAAAUUACCGAUACAUCGAACAAGAAUGUAUUAUACAAUUUUCUGCGAGAAAUUUCCAUUCUCGUCCUCGCUUUCUCGUACCAUUUCCUUUUUCAUAUCUUUAUCAAUCGAUUUAGUAAUCAUCCCGUGACUCCACUAAUUUGAGGAACGAAUUGAAUUUAAAGACUAAUUACCUCGAAACUUUAACUUAAUCACGUUCCAUUAUCUCUAAACCAACACGAAGAUUCUAAGUAUUUGUGUUAAAGCAAAGAUAGCAACGAUAACGAAGAAAUUAUCAAGAGCUCGGAACCGCUAGGACUUUCAACUUUAUUUCAAAGGCUCUACCUGAGCACUUUCAAUGCGCAAGCUGCGCCGUAGAAUUUUACGUAACGUUGUGCCUCGCUCAUACUUGGAAAUGACUGGUGGUGGCCUUGCGCGACAGGCUCCGCCAUUGAUCAGACUCGCCAAAUUUCAAGGAAAGGAACACGUCGUGCUGAACGUUAAUUUCACCUUCCGGGUUACGCCUGUUUUGUUGCUGGAAAAUGCAUUCCUAUCGGAUUACGUUGGCAUACCGUGCUGCUGUGAUCGGUUCUAUAGAUCGGUGAAUGGGUUUCAUUCAUUUGAACAGUGGUUCUCAUGGGAUCCGCUAUGUUUCCGAGGUAUGUAGAGACCAGAUGUCAGGAUAAAGCGAAACCACCGCCAAGAGGGAGGAGAAUUGUCGACACGGUGAGAGACAGACUCAAAGAAUAGGAGAGACCUUUGAGCAAGCGAGAGAGAAAAAGAGAGAGACGGUGGAUUUCGAGAUGACAGAAAAGGGAGUAUAGAGGAUUGAUAGAGAAGGAAGGAGAAUAGAGGGCGAGAAGGGAAGAAAAGGCGAGGACUACCGCAAGUAGAUUCCGCGUGUAUAAUGACAGGCAACUGCAUUUUCAAUCGCGUUCUCCUGCAUAAAAAUGCUCGAGACCGACGUGCGCUGAACUUUAUCGUGUGUACACAAUUUUCCAUGAGUGGACGCGCCUUUGAUUGACAUGCAUCGAUUGCAUAAUACAACGCAUGGUCGCGCAUUGACGUUUAAGAAAGGAUUGGAUGAAAAAUAGAGGAAAAAAUAUACGCUUGAAAAAUUCGAUAACGUCAUAUUUGUUUUUGGGCAAUAUGCCUGCUUUAUUCGAUAUUUCUAUCGAGUUAUUAGUUAUUUAUUGUUUAUUAAUACAGCCAUGUAUUUAUACAUAUUCGAUAACAAUAACCAUGCAUUAUUGGAUAUUGUGAAUUAUGAAGCUGAUCGAUGGAAAUGCAACGGUACAUGGAAUACAUUAAUCGCCUUUGUGCAAGUUUCAUUAAUAAGUCCAUCGUUCUCUCUUUUCAAUAAAAUCUGUGGCAAAUUAUGAUUUUCUAUUGUUAAUAGAGAAAAGUAAAUGUGUUAAACACGCGUUUUAUGUGUAGAAAGCGAAACUAAAUAAAGACAUAGGUGACACUAA